GAUUUCCUUCUUCUAGGAAGUAGAAUAUAAACGCAGUUAGUAAGCAUUGCUGAAGGUACACCGAGCGAGUGCUUCCAGAGCACUCCAGAGGAGUCGCUUAAACCUUCCCAAAGAGGCUGGAAGGUCAAUGGCUUCCACCUUCCAAUCUAAAUAACAGGAACUGAACUUAGCCUUGUCUUCUCUGAGCCCUCCCUGUAGAUUUACUUGUUUACUUAUUGGCCUUGCCAAAUGCAAACUGCUGACCUCUGUGCUGUGUGCCUCGAAAUGGUCAGAGUGGAAAGAGUCAGGAGAGUGAGCUGCGGUUUGUGGCCCGUUAUGAGACGACUGCUCUGUACCAGCCUGGGUUUCUGGGGAAGUUGGUGUCCAUCCAUGCAGAGGCUUAAGGGGCAGCAGAAAGUGUGAGUCGCUGGAGAAUGUAUUCCUACCUUCUGGCCUUUUCAGGAGUAAAGACUGCUGCCAAUCCUACUGUUGUAGAUAGGAAAUAGACUCUUCUCAUCACAAUAGAAUCCUGUUUCUAAAUUAGAGAUGAAAUGAAAAUAAGUUAAACUUGACUGUUGAAGAGCUAGACUGGAGUUUUUCAUGCUCGGUUGUAUCAGAUUCACAUAGGAUCCUCUGCUGUGUAGUCGCAGGUAAUGAUUGCUGGGGUAGAAAACGUCCUCUAUGUUGUCCUGUUCUUGCUCUGUCUCUGUCUGUCUGUCUGUCUCUCUCUGUGAUCUAUGCUGAUUCAAUAACAAAAAUAAGCAAUCAGGUGUACCUGCUGUGCUAUGAAGCAUGGAAGGUUUUAAGGCAAAUGAGGUGAAAGGAAACUGGCCAGGACCAGUCCCCUGCGGGCACAUAAAAGGGAAGACAAAGCCGAGGCAGACUGAGGGACAGGGUUCUCCUGGUACUGUCUUCCUUCUGUUAACAUCUCUGUGUUCCUAUAGCCAUGCUCCGAAGAAAAGGCACAAGACACACUGCGGGACUCUCCACAUGUGUAUAUACCUGUCCCAUCACUUAAAGCCAGUUUAAGACACUCAUUACUAUCGUCGGUAUGUUAAAAUAUGCAGUCACUGUUCCUGUAAUCAGGUCCUGCUGCUUGGUUUGCUCUGUGAUUAUGGAAGAAGGAUGCUUUUAAAAAUGUAUUCUGCAACAGUUUGGGGGUAAACUGAUCUGAAAAGAAACGAGUAUCAUGUUAUGAAAUACAUGCCUGUUGUGUUUGUAGUGUCUCCUAAGAAUACCCUAAAAU
rnacentral:lncRNA from 1 species